ensembl:lncRNA
AGUGGGAGUGCCUUCCACCCCCUCCCAACCAAAGGACUUUGGUUGAAGGAGAGAAAGAGAAUGACACUGGGGUUCACGGCAAGGUCUCCUGUCCACGUGGUGAUGUGGCUGCAGAGGCUUCCGGUGGGAACACAUGGACUUCCCACCCCCGUGCUCCAUCUGCCCACACUCGGUCAUAUCUUUGCUACCUUCCUGGCAUCUGAAGGGUCUAGGAGUCUGAAUGCCAUUAGGGCCGUGUGAAAUGAACUAUCACCUGCGAAGAAUUAGAUCCCGGGUUUGGAAGACUUCCUAUUGACUAACCUGCAGUAUAAUUUAUAAUUAUUUCUGUUUACACACGAGGUGGGGCAGAGAUGCCAAGAGGAAAACUGGCCUGGAGCUCACCUGAAUGUGAGUA